rnacentral:rRNA from 1 species
UACGAAGGGGGCUAGCGUUGUUCGGAUUUACUGGGCGUAAGAGCGUGUAGGCGGCCAAGCAGGUCCGCUGUGAAAACUCGAGGCUCAACCUCGAGACGUCGGUGGAAACCGUUUGGCUAGAGUCCGGAAGAGGAGAGUGGAAUUCCCGGUGUAGCGGUGAAAUGCGCAGAUAUCGAGAAGAACACCCGUGGCGAAGGCGGCUCUCUGGGACGGUACUGACGCUGAGACGCGAAAGCGUGGGGAGCGAACAGG